rnacentral:rRNA from 1 species
GAGAGUUUGAUCCUGGCUCAGGAUGAACGCUGGCGGCGUGCCUAAUACAUGCAAGUCGAGCGAAUGGAUUAAGAGCUUGCUCUUAUGAAGUUAGCGGCGGACGGGUGAGUAACACGUGGGUAACCUGCCCAUAAGACUGGGAUAACUCCGGGAAACCGGGGCUAAUACCGGAUAACAUUUUGAACCGCAUGGUUCGAAAUUGAAAGGCGGCUUCGGCUGUCACUUAUGGAUGGACCCGCGUCGCAUUAGCUAGUUGGUGAGGUAACGGCUCACCAAGGCAACGAUGCGUAGCCGACCUGAGAGGGUGAUCGGCCACACUGGGACUGAGACACGGCCCAGACUCCUACGGGAGGCAGCAGUAGGGAAUCUUCCGCAAUGGACGAAAGUCUGACGGGGCAACGCCGCGUGAGUGAUGAAGGCUUUCGGGUCGUAAAACUCUGUUGUUAGGGAAGAACAAGUGCUAGUUGAAUAAGCUGGCACCUUGACGGUACCUAACCAGAAAGCCACGGCUAACUACGUGCCAGCAGCCGCGGU